UGCUUCGUGUAGCUCAAGUGGUAUGAGUGCCAGUACGGUGUGCUGGAGGUCGCGGGUUCGAUUCCCGCCGGAGCAG
rnacentral:tRNA from 1 species